rnacentral:rRNA from 1 species
AAUACUAACACGAGUCCGAUAGCGAACAAGUACCGUGAGGGAAAGUUGAAAAGUACUUUGAAGAGAGAGUAAACAGUACGUGAAACCGCUCAGAGGUAAACGGGUGGAGUUGAACUGCAAGCUCUGAGGAUUAAGCUGGUGAGUAUGGCAUGAGCUGGGUCAUGUUGGUUGUGAGUCUGGGUCUGCUUAGCCGCAGGUUCUCGCCUUCUGGUGGGAAUGCGCGUUGCACUUAUCAAGUGUUGUGCGCUCAGUCUCCUUCGAACCUGCUCGCCAGUGCACUUUCUCAGAGU